GAUUCUACGUUGUUGCUAAAGGUUGUCACAACGAUGUCAUAAGGUUGCCAUUUAAACAUCAUGAGGGUCGCAUGCUUUAGGUUGUGCUUAGGUGGCGUGGACGACCACUGUACAACAUUUACUGGUCACAGCUGAAUCAGUUUAAAUUUCAACAAGCCGUCGUCUCAUUCAUCAACGACCGAGGAGACGCUAUUUUUACAUGGAGGUAAUCUUCUAUUGAUAAUUUCUGGAUUUUAAUUAUGCAAUGUUUUCAGCUGUUGAAUUCACCUCAGAUCAGUGUUGCUGUAAUUCCUGAUCUAUGGAAAGAAGAAUUGGAUGAGCGAGCAACGCCACAACUACAGGGCCUCUUCUUUCUCUACUCAUAAUUUAACUGGAUUAUCCGUUGAAUUUGUUUCUUCCUCUGACUGCUUUCUCCAUACCAACAAC